CAGUCGAACGCAGUAGUAAUACUGAGUGGCAGACGGGUGAGUAACAUGUGGGAAUCUGCCUUGUGGUUCAGGACAACAUUGGGAAACCGAUGCUAAUACUGGAUAAGCCCUUACGGGGAAAGUUUUAAUGCCAUAAGAUGAGCCCGCAUUUGAUUAGUUAGUUGGUGAGGUAAUGGCUCACCAAGACAAUGAUCAAUAGCUGAUCUGAGAGGAUGAUCAGCCACACUGGGACUGAGACACGGCCCAGACUCCUACGGGAGGCAGCAGUGGGGAAUCUUGCACAAUGGAGGAAACUCUGAUGCAGCGAUGCCGCGUGAGUGAAGAAGGCCUUUGGGUUGUAAAGCUCUUUUGUAGGGGAAGAUAAUGACUGUACCCUAAGAAUAAGGUCCGGCUAACUUCGUGCCAGCAGCCGCGGUAAUACGAAGGGACCUAGCGUAGUUCGGAAUUACUGGGCGUAAAGCGCGCGUAGGCCGUUGAGUUAGUUAAUUGUGAAAUCCCAAAGCUUAACUUUGGAACUGCAAUUAAAACUGCUCGACUAGAGUUUGAUAGAGGAAAGCGGAAUACAUAGUGUAGAGGUGAAAUUCGUAGAUAUUAUGUAGAACACCAGUUGCGAAGGCGGCUUUCUGGAUCAACACUGACGCUGAGGCGCGAAAGUAUGGGUAGCAAAGAGGAUUAGAUACCCUCGUAGUCCAUACCAUAAACGAUGAUUGCUAGAUGUUGGAAAUUUAUUUUCAGUAUCGCAGCUAACGCAUUAAGCAAUCCGCCUGGGGAGUACGACCGCAAGGUUAAAACUCAAAUGAAUUGACGGG
rnacentral:rRNA from 1 species